UACGUAGGGGGCAAGCGUUGUCCGGAUUCAUUGGGCGUAAAGAGCGUGUAGGCGGCCUGAAAGGUCAGCUGUGAAAACUCGAGGCUCAACCUCGAGACGUCGGUUGAAACCAUCUGGCUAGAGUCCGGAAGAGGAGUGUGGAAUUCCCGGUGUAGCGGUGAAAUGCGCAGAGACCCGGAGGAAUACCGGUGGCGAAGGCGGCUUCCUGGUCUGCAACUGACGCUGUGGCGCGAAAGCUAGGGGAGCAAACGGG
rnacentral:rRNA from 1 species